UAGAUACCCUGGUAGUCCACGCCGUAAACGAUGGAUACUGGCUGUUGGAGGUAUCGACCCCUUCAGUAGCGAAGCUAACGCGUUAAGUAUCCCGCCUGUGGAGUACGGUCGCAAGACUAAAACAUAAAGGAAUUGACGGGGACCCGCACAAGCGGUGGAUCGUGUUCUUUAAUUCGAUGCUAAACGAAGAACCUUACCAGGCUUGACAUCCAGGGAAUUUUGGGAAACCAAUUAGUGCCUUUGGAACCCU
rnacentral:rRNA from 1 species